AGCAGCCGCGGUAAUUCCAGCUCCAAUAGCGUAUAUUAAAGUUGUUGCAGUUAAAAAGCUCGUAGUUGAAUUUCGGGAUCAUCAGGUUGGUCGUGCCUCUGGUAUGUACUGAUCUCGGUGGUUCCUACUUCUUGAAGAACCGUAAUGCCAUUAAUUUGGUGUUGCGGGGAAACAGGACUGUUACUUUGAAAAAAUUAGAGUGUUUAAAGCAGGCAAUCGCUUGAAUACAUUAGCAUGGAAUAAUGAAAUAGGACGUUCGAUCCUAUUUUGUUGGUUUCUAGGAUUGACGUAAUGAUUAAUAGGGAUAGUUGGGGGCAUUAGUAUUCAAUUGUCAGAGGUGAAAUUCUUGGAUUUAUUGAAGACUAACUACUGCGAAAGCAUUUGCCAAGGAUGUUUUCAUUAAUCAAGAACGAAAGUUAGGGGAUCGAAGACGAUCAGAUACCGUCGUAGUCUUAACCAUAAACUAUGCCGACUAGGGA
rnacentral:rRNA from 1 species